rnacentral:rRNA from 1 species
UACGGGAGGAGCAGUGGGGAAUAUUGCACAAUGGGCGCAAGCCUGAUGCAGCCAUGCCGCGUGUAUGAAGAAGGCCUUCGGGUUGUAAAGUACUUUCAGUCGUGAGGAAGGUGUUAAGGUUAAUAACCUUAGCAAUUGACGUUAGCGACAGAAGAAGCACCGGCUAACUCCGUGCCAGCAGCCGCGGUAAUACGGAGGGUGCGAGCGUUAAUCGGAAUUACUGGGCGUAAAGGGCACGCAGGCGGUUAAUUAAGUUGGAUGUGAAAUCCCCGGGCUUAACCUGGGAAUGGCAUUCAAGACUGGUUAGCUAGAGUCUUGUAGAGGGGGUAGAAUUCCAUGUGUAGCGGUGAAAUGCGUAGAGAUGUGGAGGAAUACCGGUGGCGAAGGCGGCCCCUGGACAAAGACUGACGCUCAUGUGCGAAAGCGUGGGGAGCGAAACAGGGAUUAGAUACC